rnacentral:tRNA from 1 species
GGCUCGGUAGCUUAGUUGGAAAAGCACUUGUCCUGCGUACAUGGGUCGUGAGUUCAAAUCUCAGCUUGAGCU